rnacentral:rRNA from 1 species
GACGAACGCUGGCGGCGUGCUUAACACAUGCAAGUCGAACGGAAAGGCCCUGCUUUUGUGGGGUGCUCGAGUGGCGAACGGGUGAGUAACACGUGAGUAACCUGCCCUUGACUUUGGGAUAACUUCAGGAAACUGGGGCUAAUACCGGAUAGGAGCUCCUGCUGCAUGAUGGGGGUUGGAAAGUUUCGGCGGUUGGGGAUGGACUCGCGGCUUAUCAGCUUGUUGGUGGGGUAGUGGCUUACCAAGGCUUUGACGGGUAGCCGGCCUGAGAGGGUGACCGGCCACAUUGGGACUGAGAUACGGACCAGACUCCUACGGGAGGCAGCAGUGGGGAAUAUUGCACAAUGGGCGGAAGCCUGAUGCAGCAACGCCGCGUGCGGGAUGACGGCCUUCGGGUUGUAAACCGCUUUCGCCUGUGACGAAGCGUGAGUGACGGUAAUGGGUAAAGAAGCACCGGCUAACUACGUG